rnacentral:lncRNA from 1 species
CACACACAGACACACACAGACACACACGCGAGAGCGGAAGAAAAUGGGGAAGGGGGAAGGUCAUUGCCUCCUGACAAGCAAGGGGGAAAAACAAUGCGGCAAGAAGGAAAGACACCGAGCUGCAGGGAGGCAGCAGAGAAGGAUUACAGAGGGCCUGGGUGCUAGGCUGGAUGUCCCAGAGAGGCUGGAAGCUGACUGAGGUUCAUGCGUUCUGAAAGGCAAGAGACUCCAAUUAACUGUUGGGUGUGAAGAAAGCCCCUUUUCUCAACCCACCCACACCCCUUGAGCUAACCAUCGGUUCUGCCCCUAACCCACUAGGGCCUCCAUCUGACCUGCAAGCCCAGGGGAGGUCUAGCGAUGGCCAGGCGAUGAUUGUAGCCAUCUACCUCUAUCUAGAAAGUACUGGGGUCUGUCCUCACCCUUGCUACUACUGCCAAAAACAAACAAAAACCAACCACCUCUGUUUUAUGUGCUUGUGGAUAAAAAAAUAAACAUCCUCACUAAGCUGGAUACCCAUUGGACCACUGAAAAAGACCCGUAACAAAUGGUGCAGACCCCCAACAGGACUGAUGAUUUUUAAUGGUAAGUGCAGCAGGGCCAAAGAGGUCAAGCAAAAAGCCAGGUAUGUAACCACUGGGAUUACGUG